rnacentral:misc_RNA from 1 species
AUACUCUCAACCUUCUUGGUUUUCUUUGACCACGAAGGCUUGGACUUUGGAGGUUUUUCUUGCUGGCCUCUUUUGAAGCCAGCUCCUCCUAAAUGAAUGGGUGGGGUCCGCUUUGCUGAUCCUCGACGUGAUAAGCAUUUCUUCUACGUCUCAGUGUCAGCUCGGAACCCGCUUUCCAACUUGUUCGAGUUGUGACUCGACUUUACAAA